CGUUUCGAGUGGAAUUCCGAACCCACCCCCGGGAGCCCUCCCGAGUCCCAGCCCGAAUCGGAGCGCGGGGCGGAGUCUGCACCGCCGAUCUGAGAAUAUGGCAUUUAAUAUAAAAGCUUUUCUAUAAUAAAGAGACAUGCCAGCUCCUGACAGCAUCCUGCAUCUCCUCCAAGAAGACGGACGGCCACAGAAAAACUUCCACCGGAAGCUCAUGGCAAGGCUGGCCACGCAGUGAAAAGCUGAGAUCCCGUCCAGACUGAACAAGUGGAACAAUGGAGGACCAAUUGCCCCAUACUGCAAAGUCAAGAUUCACUGUUCCCACCUGACCUCCAGAGAAACAGCAGAUGCCAUGGCUUCUCUACUCCUGAUUUGGAGUGUCACUUCCCCCCAAGCUCCUGGAACACCAUUGCUGCAACCUGCCUCCUCACCUCCCUCAAGGAACGUUCCUGAGACCUUCUGCCAUGCGUGACUCCUGGUUCCCCCGUCCCUACUUCGCCCCUUGUCAGUUUGAAGUAGCCUUGAGAAUUCAGGGCCCUUGUUCCCCCACUUGCUUCCCUAAUUCACCUAAUUUACCUCUUUUUAUAAUAGUUAAAAUGGAGGAAUGUUAAUAUUCUGAUUCGCCCCUCUAAAUCCCACCCCUUGGUGCUGCCCUGUGUCCUGAUGUGAAAGCCUCAUUCUAAGGAAAAACUCCUCUUCUUGCUCUCACUCUCUUCCACUUUUCCUCCCACGAGGUGCACACCCUCAACUUCUCUUCUUUUCUCUCUUUCCUAUCUUUCUCUUCAUCUCUCUAUUAUAAUACUCUCCAUGUGGAUGCGGCAUCUGGGUUGUGAAUUACUGCCACCACUGCUGCCAUGCCUGCAUGGUGUACAUCUGCCCAGCAUGUUUCCCUGCGUGCGUGGGAUACUGUCAGGGGUCCAUCCCCCCAUCCCCCAGCAAUAAUUCAUAACACAGUUUACGAACUUUUUUUGGAAGCAUGUUCUCAUGUAGCCCAGGCUGGUCUUGAACUCCAUGAAGCUAAGGAUGAACUUGAACACCCUCCCCCCCAACACACACACACCCCACACAAGGUUUCUGUGUAGCCCUGGCUGUCCUGGAACUCACUCUGUAGACCAGGCUGCCUUUGAACUCAGAUGUCUCUGCCUCUGGAGUACUGGGAAAAAGGCAUGUGCCCCCCACCUCCCAUAUCUGGUAAAUUCACUGAGCUCUUAAGGUAGAUAAAUCAACUGUCUUCAUUUUACAUAAAAAGGAAAUUAGGUCAGUGAA